rnacentral:rRNA from 1 species
UUUAAAGUCUAACCUGCCCAAUGAUUAAUUAAAUGGCUGCGGUAAUUUGACCGUGCAAAGGUAGCAUAAUCAUUAGUUUUUUAAUUAGAAGCUGGAAUGAAUGGUUGGACGAAAAGGAUACUGUCUCAGUUUAAGUUAAUUAGAAUUUUAUUUUUAAGUUAAAAAGCUUAAAUGUAGUUAGAAGACGAGAAGACCCUAUAGAGUUUUAUAUUUGUAUUUAUAGUAUUUGUUAUUUAUAUGUAUUAUAUUUAUUAGUAUUUUGUUGGGGUGAUGGUAAAAUUGAAUUAACUUUUAUUGAUAUACAACAUUUAUUUAUGAUUGUGUGAUCCAUUUUUAAUGAUUAUAAGAUUAAAUUACCUUAGGGAUAACAGCGUUAUUUUUUUUGAGAGUUCUUAUCGAAAAAAGAGAUUGCGACCUCGAUGUUGGAUUAAAAUAUACUUUUGGUGCAGGGGCUAGAAAGUUAGGUCUGUUCGACCUUUAAAAUUUUACAUGAUCUGAGUUUAAACCGGUGUGAGCCAGGUUGGUUUUUAUCUUUAAUAAUUUUAUAUGUUUUAGUACGAAAGGAUUUAGCAUAUUUAAUAUUUAUUAUAAUUUUGAAUGUUAUUA